rnacentral:rRNA from 1 species
GCCAGACUCCUACGGGAGGCAGCAGUGAGGAAUAUUGGUCAAUGGGCGGGAGCCUGAACCAGCCAAGUCGCGUGAGGGAAGACGGUCCUACGGAUUGUAAACCUCUUUUGCCGGGGAGCAACGGGGUCCUUGCGAGGGCCCGAUGAGAGUACCCGGAGAAAAAGCAUCGGCUAACUCCGUGCCAGCAGCCGCGGUAAUACGGAGGAUGCGAGCGUUAUCCGGAUUUAUUGGGUUUAAAGGGUGCGCAGGCGGAAGAUCAAGUCAGCGGUAAAAUUGAGAGGCUCAACCUCUUCGAGCCGUUGAAACUGGUUUUCUUGAGUGAGCGAGAAGUAUGCGGAAUGCGUGGUGUAGCGGUGAAAUGCAUAGAUAUCACGCAGAACUCCGAUUGCGAAGGCAGCGUACCGGCGCUCAACUGACGCUCAUGCACGAAAGUGUGGGUAUCGAACAGGAUUAGAUACCCUGGUAC